UUGCCCUGUCUCUGAUGAAGCUUAUGCUGAUAGAGACAUCAGAGCUCUGAUGGAAA
rnacentral:snoRNA from 1 species